CGGAGUGGCGGACGGGUGAGGAAUACAUCGGAAUCUACUCUGUCGUGGGGGAUAACGUAGGGAAACUUACGCUAAUACCGCAUACGACCUACGGGUGAAAGCAGGGGAUCUUCGGACCUUGCGCGAUUGAAUGAGCCGAUGUCGGAUUAGCUAGUUGGCGGGGUAAAGGCCCACCAAGGCGACGAUCCGUAACUGGUCUGAGAGGAUGAUCAGUCACACUGGAACUGAGACACGGUCCAGACUCCUACGGGAGGCAGCAGUG
rnacentral:rRNA from 1 species